rnacentral:rRNA from 1 species
UGGGGAAUUUUGGACAAUGGGCGCAAGCCUGAUCCAGCCAUGCCGCGUGCGGGAAGAAGGCCUUCGGGUUGUAAACCGCUUUUGUCAGGGAAGAAAUCUUCUGAGUUAAUACCUCGGGAGGAUGACGGUACCUGAAGAAUAAGCACCGGCUAACUACGUGCCAGCAGCCGCGGUAAUACGUAGGGUGCAAGCGUUAAUCGGAAUUACUGGGCGUAAAGCGUGCGCAGGCGGUUUUGUAAGACAGAGGUGAAAUCCCCGGGCUCAACCUGGGAACUGCCUUUGUGACUGCAAGGCUUGAGUGCGGCAGAGGGGGAUGGAAUUCCGCGUGUAGCAGUGAAAUGCGUAGAUAUGCGGAGGAACACCGAUGGCGAAGGCAAUCCCCUGGGCCUGCACUGACGCUCAUGCACGAAAGCGUGGGGAGCAAACAGGAUUAGAUAGCCCUGGUAGUCCACGCCCUAAAACGAUGUCAACUGGUUGUUGGGAAGGUUCCUUCUCAGUAACGUAGCUAACGCGUGAAGUUGACCGCCUGGGGAGUACGGCCGCAAGGUUGAAAC